rnacentral:rRNA from 1 species
AUCGGUAGGGGAGCGUUCUACCUUAGAUAGAAGCAUUAGCGAAAGCGGAUGUGGACGAAGUAGAAGUGAGAAUGUCGGCUUGAGUAGCGAAAACAUGGGUGAGAAUCCCAUGCCCCGAAACCCUAAGGGUUCCUCCGGCAGGCUCGUCCGCGGAGGGUUAGUCAGGACCUAAGGCGAGGCCGAAAGGCGUAGUCGAUGGACAACAGGUUAACAUUCCUGUACCUGUCAUGUUUUGGGAAGGGGGACGGAGAAGGCUAGCCCAGCCAGAAGUUGGUUACUGGUUCAAGCGUUCGAGGCGUUGAGGGGUGGAGAAAACAUCCUGAGCUGAGGCGUGAGUACGAGCUGCUACGGCAGCGAAGUGGGUGACGUCAAGCUUCCAAGAAAAGCC